GCCUGCCCAGUGACCAUGUGUUCAACGGCCGCGGUAUUCUGACCGCGCGAAGGUAGCGUAAUCACUUGUUUUUUAAAUAAAGACUAGUAUGAACGGCCGCACGAGGACCUAACUGUCUCCUUAGUCCAAUCAGUGAAACUGAUCUCCUCGUGCAGAAGCGAGGAUUUUACCAUAAGACGAGAAGACCCUAUGGAGCUUUAAACUUUUAUUAAUUAUUCUCUUCACCCCUCUAAGGAAUUAACAACCAAUUUAAUUUAUUUAAUAAAAGUUUUGGGUUGGGGCGACCAUGGAGAAAAAAAUAUCCUCCCUGAUGAAAACCUAACCAAGAGCCACAGCUCUAAGUAUUAAGACACUUAACUCCUAUUGACCCAUUUUAUGAUCAACGAACCAAGUUACCCUAGGGAUAACAGCGCAAUCCAUUUCAAGAGUCCCUAUCGACAAAUGGGUUUACGACCUCGAUGUUGGAUCAGGGCAUCCCAGUGGUGCAACCGCUACUAAAGGUUCGUUUGUUCAACGAUUAAAGCCCU
rnacentral:rRNA from 1 species